GAUGAACGCUAGCGACAGGCCUAACACAUGCAAGUCGAGGGGCAGCACAUGAGUAGCAAUACGAUGGUGGCGACCGGCGCACGGGUGAGUAACACGUAUGCAACCUGCCUUCUACUAUGGGAUAACCCGUUGAAAGACGGACUAAUACCGUAUAAUACAGGGGCUCCGCAGGGAGAUAUUUGUUAAAGAUUUAUUGGUAGAAGCUGGGCAUGCGUAUGAUUAGAUAGUUGGUGAGGUAACGGCUCACCAAGUCAACGAUCAUUAGGGGUUCUGAGAGGAAGGUCCCCCACACUGGUACUGAGACACGGACCAGACUCCUACGGGAGGCAGCAGUGAGGAAUAUUGGUCAAUGGACGAGAGUCUGAACCAGCCAAGUCGCGUGAAGGAAGACGGUUCUAUGAAUUGUAAACUUCUUUUGUGCAGGAAUAAAGUGGGUUACGUGUAACCUUUUGUAUGUACUGUACGAAUAAGGAUCGGCUAACUCCGUGCCAGCAGCCGCCGUAAUAC
rnacentral:rRNA from 1 species